rnacentral:rRNA from 1 species
AUUGAACGCUGGCGGCAUGCCUUACACAUGCAAGUCGAACGGUAACGGGCCUUCGGGUGCCGACGAGUGGCGAACGGGUGUGUAAUACAUCGGAACGUGCCCGAUCGUGGGGGAUAACGAGGCGAAAGCUUUGCUAAUACCGCAUACGAUCUACGGAUGAAAGCAGGGGACCGCAAGGCCUUGCGCGGACGGAGCGGCCGAUGGCAGAUUAGGUAGUUGGUGGGAUAAAAGCUUACCAAGCCGACGAUCUGUAGCUGGUCUGAGAGGAUGAUCAGCCACACUGGAACUGAGACACGGCCCAGACUCCUACGGGAGGCAGCAGUGGGGAAUUUUGGACAAUGGGCGCAGGCCUGAUCCAGCCAUGCCGCGUGCAGGAUGAAGGCCUUCGGGUUGUAAACUGCUUUUGUACGGAACGAAAAGCCUUCUUUUAAUACAGGAGGGUCAUGACGGUACCGUAAGAAUAAGCACCGGCUAACUACGUG